rnacentral:ncRNA from 56 species
GGCGGAUGUAGCCAAGUGGAUCAA